rnacentral:lncRNA from 1 species
UUACCUUCUACCAACCACAACCCUCCACUCCAGGUACUAAAUUGUGAAACUGCACCAGGUACGCCAGGUACUAAAUUGUGAAGUUCUGAAGGUAGCUUACUAUUCCCCAAACACACCUUAUGCCUUUGUUCAUGGGAUUGUCUCUGCCUGGAAUGUCAUUUUCAUUCCAUUCACUGGAAUCUCACUCAUUCCAAACUCCCACUUACUCUUCAAGGAUAAGCUCAAAUGCUGCUGCUUCUCUACAGCUUUCCAUGACCCGCCAAGAAGAAAAGGAAAUUUGAAUACACAAAGAGACACAAGGGAUGACAUGCACAGAGGGAUGACCAUGAAGAGCCAGCAAGAGUGGCCACUUGCCAGCCAAGGAGAAAGGCCCCAGAAGAAACCAAACCUGCCGACACCUUGAUCUUGGACUUCUCACCUCCAAAGCUAUGAAAAAUAAAUUUCUGUUAAGC